CAGGACUCUCACACGGACAGAGGCAUCACCUCCCAAAAGAAGUCCGUGUCAUAAAGGGUCCCUUGGUUGUGGGGUUUAAUGACAUGAAACUAUUCUAUUCACCUCCAGGGCUAAGGAAGUAUCUUUUGAUUUAUUGCACUGUUCUAAACACUAUGUAAUUAGAUGAGCUUGGAACUCUGCAAGGGGGGCAGUUUGUAGUGCAGAUCCGUUUCCCACUGAAGUGCAUGGAGGCUGCAGGAGCGGAGGUGAAGGGGAUGGAGAGGUGGAGUCUUUCUAUGUUGCCCAGGCUGGUCUCAAACUUCUGACUUCAAGUGAUCCUCCUGCGUUGGCCUCCCGAAGUGCUGGGAUUACAGUCGUAAACCACCACUCCUGGAUUAUCCUUUACUAAUUUCAUUCAUAGAUGAGAGAUUGGGAGAAGAAAGAGGAAACUGCCACUUAUUUUCCACAUAAGUGUCAUCUUCAAGGUGGAGCGAAAGAUGACAUUGCUGGUGAGAUGUUCAGCACUCUUUGGUCACGUUGGAAAAAAAUUGUAUUCGGUUGUCAGAGAUGAAGAAUUGUUAAAAACAAAAUCUUUUUUAUUCCUCCUAAAGACAUUACAGCUCACAAAAUCUCUGAUAGCUUCCUGUAGCAUGUAUUUUACUAUUCAAGGAGACAAUUGAAUGGGUUUAUUUCUUCUUAUGUUACAUCUCAGCUUUAAUAAGUAAUGUCUGGCUGGGUGCGGCGGCUCAUGCCUGUAAUCCCGGCACUUUGGGAGGCAGAGGCGGGAAGAUCACCAGAGGUCCGGAGUUCAAGACUAGCCUGGCCAACAUGGUGAAACCCCGUUUCUACUAAAAAUACAAAAAUAAAAUUAAAAUAAAAAUAGGUGAUGUCUUUGAGCUAAUUUAUGCUCUCCAUACCUUAUGAUCAUCUAGCUGUGUGUUGGCAAGUCCAGGAUGGUGGCUUUUGACGAACUGUGCUUUAAGGCAAACCAUGGAGUAGAGAAAGAUGGACAGCAGAGGAUUUGGGGCUUUAAUGGGCACACAGCCUGCUUAGGAGGAAGCUCAUUAGUCUGGAGCUCCUGCCCCUUGUCUUUGUGAAGCCAUUACUGGUCCCCUGGUAUGCUGCUCAUAGGCAAGGCAAAAGAAAUUUAUAGGAAUCAAAGCUUAUAGAAACAGCAACAACUUUAAGAGUCAGUUUGUUUAACCAAAUUAAAAUUGUUCUUUUUUUCUUCCUCCAUUCCCAGAAGUGCAUUUCUAUUUCCACUGAGUUAAUAAAG
rnacentral:lncRNA from 1 species